ACGGCCAGUCAAUGCAGUUACAAUGUCUCCACUUCUUGAUCAUGUGGUGCUUGGUGGUGGUCAGGAUGCUUCGGCUGUGACAACAACUGAUCAUCGUGCAGGAAAGUUUGAAGCUAAAUUUUUUGACAAGAUCCUUCAAGAAGAGAUUGGAGGCGUGAAAGGGCAUUUUGGACCCAUCAAUGCUCUGGCUUUCAAUCCCGAUGGAAAGAGUUUUUCAAGUGGAGGUGAAGAUGGUUAUGUAAGACUGCAUCAUUUUGACCCCG
rnacentral:misc_RNA from 1 species